rnacentral:rRNA from 1 species
CCUGAACGCUGGCGGCGUGGCUAAGACAUGCAAGUCGCACGGAGGUAGCAAUACCUUAGUGGCGAACGGGUGAGUAAUGAAUCGCUAAUGUGCCCCGGACUCUGGGAUAGCUGCCCGAAAGGGCAGGUAAUACCAGAUGAUAUAACCGAACCGCAUGGUUUGGUUCUCAAAGGUCCGCCGGUCUGGGAGCAGGCGAUUUCGUAUCAGCUAGUUGGUGAGGUAACGGCNCACCAAGGCGACGACGCGUAGCCGGACUGAGAGGUUGGCCGGCCACAUUGGGACUGAGACACUGCCCAGACUCCUACGGGGGGCUGCAGUAACGAAUCUUCCGCAAUGCAACGAAAGUGUGACGGAGCGACGCCGCGUGUAGGACGAAGCCC